rnacentral:tRNA from 1 species
GGGGCUGUAGCUCAGUGGUAGAGCACUUGCCCAGCAGGUGUUGGGUGCUGAGUUCGAUCCUUAGCACUGCCU